rnacentral:rRNA from 1 species
UACAGAGGGUGCGAGCGUUAAUCGGAAUUACUGGGCGUAAAGCGCGCGUAGGCGGCUUUGCAAGUCGGGUGUGAAAUCCCCAGGCUUAACCUGGGAACUGCAUUCGAGACUGCAUUGCUAGAGUAUGGGAGAGGGAAGUGGAAUUUCCGGUGUAGCGGUGAAAUGCGCAGAUAUCAGGAGGAACACCGGUGGCGAAGGCGGUUCUCUGGGCAUUACCUGACGCUGAGGAGCGAAAGCGUGGGGAGCGAACAGG